UACAGAGGUCUCAAGCGUUGUUCGGAUUCAUUGGGCGUAAAGGGUGCGUAGGUGGCGCCAUAAGUCAGGUGUGAAAUCUCGGGGCUCAACCCCGAAACUGCACUUGAUACUGUGGUGCUGGAGUACUGGAGAGGAGAUUGGAAUUUACGGUGUAGCAGUGAAAUGCGUAGAUAUCGUAAGGAAGACCAGUGGCGAAGGCGACUAUCUGGACAGAUACUGACACUGAGACACGAAAGCAUGGGGAGCAAACAGG
rnacentral:rRNA from 1 species